CCAGUUUGCUGGGAAAUGGUUCCUGGUCGGGGUGGCCUCACAAUGCAGCUACUUGAGUGAGAACAGCCACCGGCUUGAAGCAACCAACCUGGUGGUCUCUGUGGGUGGUGCAAGCUCUCAGGGAUCCUUGUUGGUGAGCACCUUCCGCCCGCUGUGUCCGAGGAAGCCGGCGGGAUCCGCUGGUCCCAGAUGAAUGGGGUGUAGAGGAAAGGUCAUCUUCUUUGUUGGUCCCCAAGAAUCAUAGAAUUGUAGAGUUGGAAGGGACCCCAAGGUUCCUCUACUCCAACCACCUGCAUUAGAGGAAUCUCAGCGACUGUUGGGAUUUUUCUACUACAUGCCAUUCUGUGCAGCUUCACACAAAGCAAUUAGAAGGUGGCCAAAAGCCAAGGAUGACUGAGCAGAGGAGUUAUUCUGCCUAGAGAUAUGGGAUCUUGGAUACAGCUCUACCAUUGGUUGAUGUUUCACACAGGCAUGAUGACUUAUGACCUUACUGACUGGAUAGUGUUGUUGGUCAGUGUGGUGUUUUGAGAGUCGUUUGGAGUUUGUUAAGAGAGAGCCAGUUAAGAUCCGCAUCUGUUCUUGUACAUAGUAACUUGUAGAGUCUGCUGUUUUUAAUAAUCACCUCUAAGUAACCAAGUUACUGGUAGCAGCGUCUUGUUCCUGCUUCGUCCAUCCUGCCUGCAACUGAUUGAUUUCUGGAACUCUGCGUAUGCUCUGCUAAGGUCUGGCUAAGGUCCUGCAACAGGUCAAAGUUGCAAAACACCAAUAGCUACAACAUCCCUGGCAGAUGGCCAUCCAACCUCUGCUUAAAAACCUCCAAGGAAGGAGAGUCCACCACCUCCCGAGGGAGACCGUCUCUACAGUCGAAUAGCUCUUACUGUCAGAAAGUUUUUCGCGGGAGGACUCUGUGUGCAACGUUUUUGGGUAAUCUAGUGAGGUAUAAAUGUGGUAACCCAAAGGAAUGCUCUUUCGAGCAACUAUUACAUGCGCACAUAGAGCCAAUGCCUUUGUUUUUUUCUGCGGAAGGAGGGAUGUGUUUUUCUGGUGCUGGCUGUUCCUAGGCAAACAGCCUAUGGUACAGGAUCCGGCCUGACGUGGACCGGCCGCUGGAAUACUGCCCUGAAUGCUUGGUCUUCUCCUCCAUCUCUGCAGGGACGGCGUCUGUUGGAACAUCCAGCAAACCUACUUCCCCACCAAGAUUCCUGGCAGGUUCCUCUUGAAAGGU